CCGCCUACUUACUGCUAAGGUGAUCGGUGAUUGGUUUUCGUGACGUCACUCAUCAAGUUUGGUUGCAUGGCGGCGGUUGUUGGCGUUGCUGUCAUAAAUCAGACAUCAACACGGGAGGAGAGAGCUAGUCGUCACGAUGCAGUUCCUGGGGCGUCUUUUGGACACCGUGUCGUCCGUAUCCACCCUGUUCACCAACCCUUACCGGGUGAGGGACGUGCAGUUGUCCGACUACGACGGGGGAGGGAAGGUCAAGCUGAGGCAGGAAGGACGUCUGGUUCUCUAUAAGAACCCCCAGUGCCAGUCGUGGGAUUGUGUCCUGAUAUGUCCCGACACUCCGGCGGCAGCCCUCAGGCUUUUCCAGGUGGCGUCAGAGGAGGACGCCAUGAACUGGUUCCCGCAGUACGCGCUUAAGCUUCCGCCCUUUUACGACAUUCUCCCGCCAAUGAAGCCCGAGACCGCCCAGAUGAUCGUGGACUGCCUGCGCAACCACCCGAAUUGGAGCGCCGCUCACAUUGCCGUGGACACGGGCCUCAGGGAGUGUCUGAAACACAACUACGUCCAGAGUCAGAUCAACGCUCGGGACGCACUCGGCCAGACGCCGCUGCACCUGGCGUGCGAGCGAAGCGACGUGGCCUGCGUGAAGGAGCUGCUCGAGGAGAGCCAGGCUCGCACGGACAUCAGAGACCACCAGGGAGAGACGCCCAUGCACAUUGCCGCCAAGCACGACUCCCCUGCCGUCAUCCAGGUGUUGUGCUCGCGCUUGUGCUCGGGAGUGAACGAGCUGAACAACAGCAGGGAGACGCCGCUCCACGUUUCUUGCCGCCUGGGCCGAAUGGAGGCCGUCAAAGCCCUCUUGGGGGGCGGGGCCAAGUGCAACGUCCCCGGCGGCGCCGGCUACCCGAUCCACUCUGCCGUGAAGUACAGUGAGAAGAGCUGUACAGAAGAGAUCCUGAAAGCGGAUCCUGACCAGCUGCACGCGGAAGACUCUUUGUAUGGCGGGACCCCCCUCCACUGGGCUAAAACUGCAGAGAUGUGUCGCAUGCUGCUGGAGAGGGGCAGCGCAAUCAACUACCUCAGUAAGACCGGCGAGAGCGCGCUCCACAUUUGCACCAAGAAGGGUCGCUUCGAGGCAGCCAUGGUCUUGCUCACACACGGCGCCAACGCCAAUCUGAAGGGGCAGGACGGCAACACGGCGUUGCACCUCGCCAUGAAGAUGGAUCACAUGGAGUUGAUCAAAGCUCUGAUCGUGUUCGGUGCCGACGUGGAGAUCCACAACGACUUGGGAGAGACCCCGGGGCUGAUCGCCGCUCGUACAAGCAAAGGUCCUAAUAGAAAGAUACUGCUGGACAUGCUGUGUAGUGUGGGUGUGCAUCGCUGCCUGCCCCCCUCCUCUGGCAGCCCUCCGCCCAUCGCCAACAAGGUCGCGGUGCCAGGCAUUGGGUUUGAGGACAUGAUGCACAUGGGGGCUGCAAUCGCUGCAAUGAGCAGAGGCAAGUCGGAAGUGGACGGUUCCAGAAUGGGCAAAAAGAGGAUGGACACGCUGCUGUGUCUGGACGGGGGUGGAAUCAGGGGCUUGGUCCUAAUCCAGUUGCUCAUCGCUCUGGAGAAAGAGGCCGGCCGGCCCACCAGGGAGCUCUUCGACUGGGUGGCUGGCACAAGCACGGGCGGCAUCCUGGCCCUCGCUAUCGUCCACGGGAAGUCCAUGGAGUACCUCCGCUGUUUGUACUUUCGAAUGAAGGAGCAGGUGUUCAGAGGCUCGCGGCCGUACGAGUCGGCGCCGCUGGAGGACUUUCUCAAGAAGGAGUUUGGAGAGAACACCAAAAUGGCAGAUGUUCAGUACCCCAGGGUGAUGGUGACCAGUGUCCUGGCAGACAGACACCCGGGAGAGCUUCACAUUUUCAGGAACUACGACCCUCCCGUCCGCAGAGAGCCCCCGUAUGCCACCACCGCCACCUUCAAAGCCCUCACGGUCCCGCGAGGAUGGGAGGAUGAGGAUGUGUUGCUAGUAGGAUACACAGUGGAACCGCCCAAUAAGUGUAGGAAGGUGACGGAUGAAGAACAACUCGUGUGGCGAGCUGCCCGCUCCAGUGGUGCUGCCCCCACCUACUUCCGGCCAAUGGGACGCUUCCUGGAUGGCGGGCUGUUGUCCAACAACCCUACGCUCGACGCCAUGUCGGAGGUGCAUCGGUACUACAAAGUGCUGAAAGCAGAGGGUCAUGGGGCAGAAAUCAAGAAGUUGGGUCUUGUGGUUUCUCUUGGGACUGGAAAGCCUCCCCAGGUGGCGGUGAGUUCCGUGGAUGUUUUCCGACCCUCCAAUCCACUGGAGUUGGCCAAGAGCAUCGUAGGUGCCAAGGAGUUGGGCAAGAUGCUGGUGGACUGCUGUACGGACUCUGACGGGUGCGCUGUGGACCGAGCCACUGCCUGGUGUGAAAUGACCGACACCAUCUACCACAGGCUGAGCCCGCAGCUUUCCCAGGAGGUGAUGCUGGACGAAGUGAGCGACGCCAUCCUGGUGGACAUGCUGUGGGAAACGCAGAUGUACCUUUACGACAAGAGGGAGGUGCUUCAGUCCCUGGCCAAAGCGCUCACGGACAACUGCAAAGGAGAGAAAAGCCCUCACCUGAGCGCUGAACGUACAAACUGAGGCGGUCUGUGAGUCUUGACGCCAAUGCCAUCAUCUGACCUCUCAAGCCCGAUAACAGGUGGUGCCGGUGCUCAAUUUCAGCGGAAGCAUUGCAUCGUGGGAAAGGUGCGGUGGCGACGCCUGUGAAGCUGAUGUCAGGUGCUGUCGACUGCAUGAGGCGGAACCCAGAUCUGAACUGAGCCACGCUGCCUUCAAGCAGGUUUUAUUCUUCGUUUUUAAGGUAUAAAUAAAUCCGCAGAGUUGGCUGACUACAAACGAGAGGAAGUGUGCAACCAGAUCCGAACUGGGGAGCUCAUGAAGAGGAACCAAUAAAGGAAGUCCUCGCGUCGACUGAGAAUACACUCUCUGCAAGUGACCUAUAACCCCUUCAAACAGGUUUCUUUUUUCGUGUUUGAGGUAUAAAUAACAUUCUAGAAAUACUUUGAAUUGGACAGUCCUACAAACAACAGAGGAAGGGGACCACCAAUUUCAAACUGAGGACUUUUGAUCUGCAGUCAAACUUCUGUUCCACUGAGCUGUACCCGCUUUGAGAUAGCUUUUAUGUUUCCAUAUUUAACGUAUCAGUAAGGAAAGUCCCUUCAGAUACGGACUGGAUGUUUCCACAACGGUCCCACAAAGGGUAUCAAACUCAUUUUGUAGUUACGGUUUCUGUCCGAGGGCCAUUACGACUGAUAGCACGAAAAACUGUAAUAUUUACACGUUAAAUUUAUCAACUAGUUUUGGAAUCAGAAAUCAAGUGUAAUGGGUUUUUCAGCUAUUGUUGAUGUUUGGUAACACAAAAAUGCUUGCAAUAUCUAUCUAUCUAAUUUAUUAUAUGACAGUUUAGUCACGAACCUCGGGGGCGUGGCUGGGCCCAAAUGCAGGACUCCGAGAUGGGGGCAUUAUGUUAGGCGUAGUUUUAUUGAAAGCUGAGGUCAUACACAAUGUAAGCAGUCCGAGAAGGCAGAGGUACAGAAACGCUAGGCUAGGUAGGAUCCAAAAGACGAGGUCUGAUGACUAGGAGGCAAACUAGGAAACAUGAACUAGGACUUCACUCAGACUAUAAAACAUCAACUUGUCAUGAGCCCGGCUGGACCACGGCCAAGAGGGGCGUGGCCACUGCCCUGGCCGGUGACACCUGUCACCGCUCACAGAUGUUUCUUAUUGGGACUGCAAUUAGAUGGUGUCUUUAAAUUGGACUUUUGGUCACUGGCAUUCGGCAGUUCGCUGUGCGUUGUUCCCUGAGUUAGUGUGUUGCAUUCCUUGACAGUAGGAAUCUCCACCACUGAAAAUGGUGGAGUGUUGAGCUAUCCUCGUCACAGUGUUUCCACCUCAGUUUCGUCCUGCCUUAGUUAAUGUUCCAUAGUCAAGUCCUAGUUCAUAGUUUGUCUCCUAGUCAUCAGACCUCACUUAACGUUUUUGGAUCCUGGCUUUGCUUAGCGUUUCUUUACCUCUGCUUACACCGUGCAUGACCUCAGCUUUGAAUAAAACUACUCCUAACAUCAUGUCCUCGUCUUGGAGACCUGCAUUUGGGCCCAGCCCCGCACCGCAGGUUUGUGACAAAACUAAGACAGGACUAAACUGUGGUGGCACAGAAACGCAAAGACGAGGAUAGCUCAACACUACACUAUUCUCAGUGGUGGUGAUUCCUACUGUCAGUGAAUGCAACUCACUAAUUCAGGGCACAACGAACUUCCAAUUGCCAGUGACAAAAACUCCAACUUAAUCACCCGUGUAAUUACAGUCCCAAUGUGAAAUAGCUCUGAGCAGUGGCGUGGCCACCCCCCUCUUGGCAGUGGCCAAGUCUUGCUCAUGACAAGUUUGAAAUUUUGGUUCAAAAUUGAACAAAAAUCAUGGAAGUUGAUACAUGUGAUUUGCCUUUGCGGGCCACAUAAAAUCAUGUGACGGGCCGGAUCUGGCCCUCAGGCCUUGAGUUUGACAUCUGUGGUUAACGCUAUCUAAAAAGGACUAAAGGGGCACCCAGACUUUAAUCGGGAAUUUCGAUUUACAAUCAAAAUGCUUUACCAUUUAAGCUAAAACCGUUUGAUACACCUUUUGGUGUUUCCGUUUCUGGUAUAAAGAAAGUCUUCAUGGAUUUGGACCCGUAAAUGUCGGCACAAAGAACACGAGGAGGGGGCACCGAGUCUUAAACCGGGGAACUCAAAUGUUGUGACACAUAAAACAUUAAAAUGCCGUUCGUGAGUCUUAACUGCAAAAAAACGUAGAACCAAGUAGAUCAAGCGGGAGACUAGCCAAAGCCAUUCCGGAGCAAUCAGGACACUUCCUCGUUCAUCUGGAAGAAAGUGUGGAAGUCCCACUGAUGCCAUGAUGUCACCUCAUUGAACGAGUGAACGCUUUCCUCCAUUAACCCGGAGCAGACAGCGCUGUAUUGUUUUCGGAGCCAAAAGAACCACAUCAGCCCUCGCGAGCAACGCCCGCACAUCCUCCGCUCCCGACGCGGCCACAAUGAGGCAAAAAUCCUCCCUUUGGAUGAGGGAAGGGAGGGGUGGUCGGGGGGGGGGGGGGAAUUCCCCCAUCCUCACGGUUCCCAGCGUGCUUGUAAUUAGCGUGAGACCUUUACAAAUUGGCCUCUGUGGAAAGGAAAAGAGCGAAAACGCUGAAGAAAAAAAUGAAAUCCUCAAGAGACGGUGGAUGUUGAUGCUUUCUUAUUGUACUGUAACGUGACAGAAUUCUCCCUAUGUAGCGAUGUUCGAAUUAACUUGUCUUUCAGGAUUUUUCAAAUACAAAAAAAAAAAAAAAAUAACGGCUCCAAGAUGCUUGCGUUAGCGGGUGUUCGAGGUUGUAGAGUUGAACCGUAAAAGUCCAUCACAGGCAAAAUUCAGAACCGCUUGGUCACGUCCAACUUUUCAAAUGAAUUAGUUCAGUUCAUCAUGUAACGUUUCGAAUGAAGUCCAUUGUUCUUUUUACGGUGGAUCAGCUGGUAAAGCGUUGGCCUCACAGUCCUGACGUCCCAGGGUUCAAACCCGGACCCGCCUGUGCAGAGUUUGCAUGUUCUCCCGUGCCUGCGUGGGUUUCCUCCGGGUACUCCGGUUCCUUCCCACAUCCCAAAAAACAUCCAACACUAAUUGGAGACUCCAAAUUGACCCUAGGUGUGAUUGUGAACGCGGCUGCGUACCCUGCGAUUGGCUGGCCACCAGUACAGGGUGUACCCCGCCUCCUAUCCGUUGACACCUGUUAUAGGCUCUGCCAUUCCCCGCGACCCUCGUGAGGAUAAGCGACAAAGAAAAUGGAUGGAUGGAUGGAUCGGUUUAUUACCCUCAUUUCACUAGUAGCUAGCUACAGCUUUCACCCUACUGGCUCAAAAAUGAGGAAAAACUCACUUGAAUGGUCUUUUUUGUUUUUAUGUAAAAUUAAAAUAAAAACAGGUCUUUUGUCUUUAUAGUCUUUGUACUGAAUUUUCAAACCCUAUCAUGCAACGCAAUAUGA